UACGUAGGGGCCGAGCGUUGUCCGGAGUUACUGGGCGUAAAGCGCGCGCAGGCGGCUCGUCAAGCCUGACGUGAAAGCCCCCGGCUCAACCGGGGAGGGUCGUCGGGGACUGGCGGGCUUGAGGUCGGCAGGGGUUGGUGGAAUUCCCGGUGUAGUGGUGAAAUGCGUAGAGAUCGGGAGAACACCGUGGCGAAGGCGGCCAACUGGGCCGGACCUGACGCUGAGGCGCGAAGGCGUGGGGAGCGAACGGG
rnacentral:rRNA from 1 species